GUCUACGGCCAUACCACCCUGAACGCGCCCAAUCUCGUCUGAUCUCGGAAGCUAAGCAGGGUCGGGCCUGGUUAGUACUUGGAUGGGAGACCGCCUGGGAAUACCAGGUGCUGUAGGCU
ensembl:rRNA 5S_rRNA 5S ribosomal RNA